GCUUCACAAGAAUGAUUCCACAUCUCAUGGAAAUACGUGAGCGCAUCGUAUGUGUGCAUGUGUUACAGUAUACAUAUAUAUAUUUUUGUUGUUGUUGUUGUUGUUGUUGUUGUUAGCGAGCUCCGAAGAGCAGACGUAGGUUCCCCGGCUGGUCGCGUCUUCGAACCGAUUUCAAUUUCAGCUUGGAACUAUUUUCUUUCGAUUGUCAGCUUUAGUUAAUGCUCUUGAAAACAGGAACUUUCCACUAUCCAAUUCUUUCAACCGUAACUCUGAUGAAUCAUUAUUAUUUGUUAUUAUUAUUGUGUAAGAGACGCUCAUGCACUUUGACCAUACCGAUGCAGUUUCGCUCCCUAGUUAAAACGAUUUACAUUUCACUUACGUUAUAUUAAUACCGUUAGGAAAAAAAAAAGUUUUUAUCUUAUGGAGAUUUUUUUUUUAAUAAAAUUUUUGUCGUUACGUAUUUAAAGACAAAGUGAUAUAAUUUCUAACACAGACACGGACCACAAAUUUGGGGAAGUAAACAAUCGAUUAAAUCGACCCCGAUACUUUACUGAUUACAUUAAUUUCAUCGACCCCAGAAAGGUGAAAGGCAAAGUUGACCUCGGUGGAAUUUGAACUCUGAACAUGAAGAGCUGUAGCUAAAUACCAAAAGGCAUUUUUUCAUCCGACGCUCAAACGAUUCUUAUGAGAGAAAGAUUAAAAAGAAUGUGAGUAGCCAGUGGGACUCGAGCUCUCAUUUAUCCCCUUUUGAUGCUUCGAUGUGCAAUUUUCGUGUUCCUAUAUAAUAGCGAACAGAUGUAAAUACCCUCUCAGCUCCAACACUCUUGACCAAGCGGAACAUCCACAAUGUGACACCCGGAUAGAGAGAGAGAGAGAAAUAGAGGGAGAAGAGAGAGAGAAACGGCGGGAGAAGAGAGACAGACAGACAUAUGUACUAGCAAAUGUGCAUGAGGUUUCUCCAUGAUUGAUACCACGAAUAUUUAAACAACGAUGAUAAUUCGGAUUGUCAACACAGACACGAUGACCACUAAUUUAUCAAGUUUGGAAGGAUGAAACGCAAUGUUGAUCCCGGUGAGAAUUUGAACUCGGAACGCAAAAGGAUGUAAACCUCAUGUCCAGUAUUCUACUGGUUCUGCCAUCCGAAGCGUACUCUAGCCUUCUCCCGUUUAAUGAACAUUUUAAAAACCUUCAAACGUUACCAUAAUAUCUUUCUCUUGCAAGUAAUUUAUUGGCUAAACAGCUGCUAUAUGUUGUUGUUCUCUCUGUCCUUUAUACACCUAACGCACAUCUAUCCGUGAUAAUUUAGGGACGCAUAUUCCCGUUGCCAGACGUGUUUCUUCAUCAAAAUUUGAAAAUUUGAACCGAUACCUCCAAUACAACAGAUAUAUAUGCAUGUAUAUGUGUGUGUGUGUGUAUUCACGUAAUUUAUUGAGAUUGGCGGUACUUUGCAUAUGACAACAGUCCAGUUAUGAACAAACGAGGAUUGCUGAUGGUAAAACACAAGAAUGCAUUCGAAAUGUGUUCCAUACUACCCAUGAGAGAAUAGAGAAUCGUUUACAUAUGACACUAGCAACGCUCGUACAGACAUACAUUAAUGUCAAUCAUAAACUAGAAAACUGAGCCAACUCGCCCUUUAGCACGAUAUUGAAAAUUAAUCAGCGAACAAUACACAACUCGGGACAGAUAAGGUGUCUUAUUAUCGCUUUUCUUUGAGAUGGCUUCACCGGGUACUCGUGAAAUUAACAUUUCGACAUCUUUAAGAUUUAAAGUGUACCGGCUACAGCAUAAAUAUUUACCCAAUUAAUUUUUAGGUUUUGGUUAAUGAAAGGUUACAGGUUGAUUAUUAUGUUUAUUGACAAUGUUUUGCAUAUAGGCGCAGGAGUGGCUGUGUGGU
rnacentral:lncRNA from 1 species